GAUCGAAAGAGGAAAUUCAUUCGCGUUUCGGCUUAAUCGGAGUCUGACGAUUGUGUGACGGAUGACGUUCGCGUCGAGCCGCGCUUUUCGUUUUUCGUGCCGAUGUCGAACGCGUGCACUUUUCCUCUAGUAGAACGUCGCGAUUCGUUGAGCGUUUGUCUAAGAGCCGAAGUGGAGCCCGCGUAACUCGUUUAUGCGAACCUUCGGAUUUCCGGCAAACACGCUCGACGGUAGAUAAAAGGCGCGAGGCCGCUAUUAAGUUAGCGUUCGACCCGUAGCAAGCACGUUCUGCGUUUGACGGCUAUCGGACUUGGUGCCGAUUCUGUCCCGGAACGACUGUUGGUUAUGUGUGUUCUCGAACAGACCUCGU
rnacentral:rRNA from 1 species